UUUUUGUGGUGCAUUUACUUGAUUGGUGCUUGGGGAUGUUUGAGGCAGAUUUGUUUCCGUCGUUUUGAGGCCAGCUUGCUGGUACCCAAACGGUGUUAGCAUUUUUUGUCUUGGGCAUUUGAGUAUGGCUCACGUGUAUUUAUUGGACAGAUCUGAGUGUAAGUUACGGUCGCAUGCGACACGUGCUUUUCAAUUAGUUCGGUCCAGUUAAUGCUCUCGUACUCGUUCCCCAUGUAAAAGCCGGUCAUCUAUCCGACCCGUCUUGAAACACGGACCAAGGAGUUUAUCGUGUGCGCAAGUUUUUGGGUGUUAAAAACUUAAAAGCGAAAUGAAAGUAAAUGACUCUUUAGAGUCUGAUGUGCGAUCUUGUAAAAAAGUGUAGCAUGGCCCCAUUCUAACUGUUUACAGUAGGGUGGCGGAAGAGCGUACGCGGUGAGACCCGAAAGAUG
rnacentral:rRNA from 1 species